rnacentral:rRNA from 1 species
AGCAGCCGCGGUAAUUCCAGCUCCAAUAGCGUAUAUUAAAGUUGUUGCAGUUAAAAAGCUCGUAGUUGAAUUUCGGGGUUAGUAGGUUGGUCAUGCCUCUGGUAUGUACUGGUCUCACUGAUUCCUCCUUCCUGAUGAACCGUAAUGCCAUUAAUUUGGUGUUUCGGGGAAUUUGGACUGUUACUUUGAAAAAAUUAGAGUGUUUAAAGCAAGCUAACGCUUGAAUACAUUAGCAUGGAAUAAUGAAAUAGGACGUUCGAUCCUAUUUUGUUGGUUUCUAGGAUUGACGUAAUGAUUAAUAGGGAUAGUUGGGGGCAUUAGUAUUCAAUUGUCAGAGGUGAAAUUCUUGGAUUUAUUGAAGACUAACUACUGCGAAAGCAUUUGCCAAGGAUGUUUUCAUUAAUCAAGAACGAAAGUUAGGGGAUCGAAGACGAUCAGAUACCGUCGUAGUCUUAACCAUAAACUAUGCCGACUAGGGAUCGGAUGAUGUUAAUUUUUUAAUGACUCAUUCGGCGCCUUACG